UGUUAAUGUACUUGGGCCAAUUAUUUAAUUGAAACUAGAGUUAAAACAUGCCUAUUGUCCCCAUACAUUUAAAAGAACUGAAAUUCUGGGCCUCUCUCUUUCAAUUAACCCAACCCACCACCUUUCUUUCCUCUAAACAGCUGUGGCCCAAAGACAUUAUUACAAAUAAUCAAGGCCCAAAUUCUUCAAUUAUCAGCCAUUCGUUAUUUUUUCAUCCCAACACCUUAUUCAAGCCCAAUGCAUCCGUCCAAACCGACAGAUUUCUUCCAAUACCCGACCCAUCCUUGUUUCCCCUUUUGCGUGAGAAUUUCCAGGGGAAACCUUGUAAUCCAAGCAGCGUUUGGACGUCGUCUUCACAGUCAAUAGAUGGAAGAACGCGUGAAUGAGACUAAGAGAAUCCAAUGCGCCUCACGCAGCAGCGAGUUCAUGGAAAGGGACAUGAUGAUAGACGGAAAAGCAACAAAGAGCAGAUACCAGCGCUGACUCUUUUUCCUUUUCCCUGACGUCUCUCUUUUUGCGAUACUAUCACAAUAGCAGAGAUGUAAUCGUACUUGGUGGCAUGAGAUGGAGACACGUAUAACACCAAAGAUGAUUAAUUCCAUCUCAUCCAUCCCCUAUCUUUCCCUUUCUGAAAUAAGGUCAAUUUUUCGAAGAAAAGGUCCUGAUCCAUAAUGGGAAAGGGUUUUGAAUUUCGAAUUGAAGAGGAAGGUUGGUUCCACCCUAAAUUUUUUGUGAGAAUUUUCCGCCCUCCCCUAAUUCAUAAACCUAGUUCUUCUCCUAUAAAUAGUCCCCUCUUCUUAUUUGUAAAGGGUUGGAGCAUAGUGAGAUAAAGGUUAGAAUAAACAGAGGAAAAGCUUAGGGAAAAAUAGUGGAUAAUACACAAGAAAGAAUUAAGAGUUAUAGACCAUCCCUUAAAAAAGUAGAAUUUGUGCGAUCGUAUUCAUAUAUCUAAAGCACAAGAGUCCAUUGUUCGGAACUUAGAUUUUGUCGAGAUCUUACGAAAUCGGAGGUGGAGUCAGCUCUCUUUGCUCAGCUCGAGUUCCAGUAUCGCUUUCUAGGAAAGGAUGAUUUCGACACACGAGUUUUUGAAAAUAAGAAUAAUUACUGUCCCUGAUACCUUCCCCAAAGUAUGGUGGAGGUUCAUGAACAACGAUGGUAAAAUGAUUAUUCAGGUUACCUCCCAUCACUGCUAGAGCUGAAUUCUUGGCCUGGCCUGAUUGGAACAAUGGUGAAAUUCUGGGAUAGAGAGCAUAUGGUAUUUUGAGUUAGGGAAGUAGAGUUGACGCCGACAAUAGAAGAAAUCCUCACGAGUUACAAAAGUGACUCCAUGUGCAACAAAAGGAAAAAAAAUGCAAAUACAGAUCUCCUAAAUCCUAUAAUAUGGGAUUUCACCAAAAUAAGAGAAAAACUAUCAUUGGUUAAAAUCGAGUGGAUGGACAAGCUCCUCGGCUUAAAUAUAGCUUUUAGAAUGCUAUAUUAUCGGUUCAAACGUCCAAGGGAUUAUGAGAAAUAUAAAGACGAGUUCGUUUCAAAAGAAAAAUGGAAAGAGACGCGUCCCCUCACAUUUGCAAUAUGUUUACUCGAAACGAUGGUUUUUCUUCAAAGGAAAAAAUACACUAUUCAUCCUAGCGUGUUUAUGAUCACUCAUGCCAUCUUCUACGGAGUGGACUAUAAAUCAUCAACAAAGUACUACCCUUAAGCGCCUAUGAUUUUGGCCGACAUCUAUAGGUCUUUAGACAAAUGUCAAAGGGGAGAACACUUCUGUCAAGGGUGUAAUCUGAUACUCCAGUGGUGGAUGAUGCGACAUUUGAUCAAGACUCAUAAUCCAAAAGAACCAGAUCCCCUAAAAUGAUCAUACGAGCUACAUGGUCAUGAUUGGUGGUUGUACCACAAUCGUUGCAAUAAGACUAAAGGAGAAGGUUUUUGGUAAUCGAGGCCUCGAGGGCCGAGAGAAGAAGACGUAUCAUGGUCAAUAGAUAGUUUUGUGGUAACUAGAAUAUGGUUGUUCGAACAGAAAAAGUCCCUUACUUGGUACUUGUUGGGUUAAGAGGGACUAGACAAUAGACUCCUGGUCGAGUCCUAAGGCAACUAGGAGGAAAACAAGAGUUUCCCCAGAUUGCAGAUAUGACGAAAUUUACAACUGACCACAAGAAUGGACGAGUCUCAUUUGCUGAAGACAUACGUAGGAUGUAGAGAUCUUGAAGAAUGUUGGGUGAACCUGUACCAAACAGGUUUCGUCAAGAAUUUUCUAGGGAGUACAAAAAAUGGUUGAAAAAAGAGUAUCUCUUGAAUUAUUGAGCCUGGUCCAAAUGUUCCUCACAUUAUUGCGGAUGUUGGAGACAAACAUCAUGUCCGACUUCACUGACUUCAAGAGAAGUUUUAUAAGAAUGAAUUAGAGCAUCAAUGUCGUCACUCAGAAGACGCCAAAGUCAUAGCUAAAUUGAAACAAGAGCUACGAAAUUCUAAAUAGUGCAUAAUAGACUUAAAUGAUAGCAUGGAACAACAGAUUCUGUUGAUAGAUAGGUUCAUACAUCAAGAAGGAGAUCAAUUGGCGAGAAAUCUUCUAUGGGAAAACAAAUAUGCUAUGUGGAAAGAGGUCAUCAUAGCCAAGAGGACCAGACUUGAUGAAGGAUCAGAUGAGGCUUGAAUUUAAUUUACCAUCCCCUGCGUGGGACUGGUUUAUAUGUUUAAUAAUUUAGAUUCAGAACUAUUUCUUUGUUUUAUGUGUAUCAGACAUUUUGGAUAUUAUUAAUGAAGUAUUUUAGGGAUAAUAAAUCCGGUUAAAAAUCAUAUACAUCCUUUAAUUCGUUAGGCCUACCCUUGGUAUAAAAGAGUCACAAAUAUAUUAAGAAUGUGAUAUAUGUUUUUUAAUUGUCUAUGUGAUAUGUCGCUAUGAAUGAGGAUAUCGUAAACCUACUCCUGCCAGAAAGUCCAGAAAUAUACAAG